GAUGAACGCUAGCGGCGGGCCUAAUACAUGCAAGUCGAACGGGAAAGGUGGCAACACCUUGAGAGUGGCGUACGGGUGCGUAACGCGUAUACAACCUGCCUGUUACACGGGGAUAGCCUUGCGAAAGCGAGAUUAAUACCCGAUGGUACUAUUGAGCGGCAUCGCUUGGUAGUUAAAGCUGAGGCGGUAACAGAGGGGUAUGCGUCCCAUUAGCUAGUUGGUAGUGUAACGGACUACCAAGGCGACGAUGGGUAGGGGUUCUGAGAGGAUGAUCCCCCACACUGGUACUGAGAUACGGACCAGAAUCCUACGGGAGGCAGCAGUAGGGAAUAUUGGGCAAUGGACGGAAGUCUGACCCAGCCACGCCGCGUGCAGGAAGAAGGUCCUCUGGAUUGUAAACUGCUUUUCUUGGGGAAGAAAACCCUUCUGCGGAAGGAAUUGACGGUACUCAAGGAAUAAGCAUCGGCUAACUCCGUG
rnacentral:rRNA from 1 species